CUUUCAUCAUAAAAAUACUGUAGCACCUUUUCUCAAGAGGCCAGCUCCGGAGUUAACCUGCUUGGAUUCAGAACUGGCUGCACUUCUAACUGUAUGUAACUUGGGUAAGGUACCUUAUCUCUACGUCCCUUUGUGUCCUUAUUCAUUAGAUGGGGAUAAUAAAUGGUGUCAUACAGUUUUUUGUAUGAUUAAGUUAACUGAAAGUACCUAAAAUACUGCCUGGCAUACAAUGCAUUAAAAAUUAACAUUUUAUUACUAGUGUGGUUGCUAUUACUUAACUAUUCUAACCAGGUUUUAGUCUUGUUUAAUAACAGCAGAAAGUAUAAAACGAAAAAAAUCUAAUGAAAGGCAAACCAGUUGUUUUUUAACUAAGAUUCUCUUUUACAGACUGUCGAGUUUUUGGAAGGUAAGAGCUGAGAAUACUUUCUUUAGGACCUGUCAGGUUAGUUUGUUUUUCCUCUACGAUUUUAAAUCUGAUGCCCUGUCAUAUUAAAAAAGCAGAAUAGGCAGAAGUGAUUUUCUUUUUAUCUCCUGUCAAAAAUGGUUUUUUUUCCAAGUUAAUUUAAUUCCUUUAAUUCAAAUAUGUUUGAAUUCAUUUUAUGCCCUUUAAGUGAAACAUUUUAAGCACUUGCCCAACCUCCCUAUUAACUGUCCAAAAUGUUUCUAGAUUCCUUUAAAGCAAAUGUCUCUCUAUAAACAAAAAGUAGUAAGUUCAAAGUUGGUUGCAUUUGCUUUACAGGUUUCCCUGAUCCUAGCUGGACCCUGUCAUCAUGUGAAGUCUGAGCAAACUUCCUGUGUCUGGGAGUGCAUCAGAAGUGAAACUUGUGCUUCAUACUAAGAAAUCUCUUGAGAAUGGCUGGGUCUUGGCUCUUUGAUCUCACCUCUACCUCAUGGAAAGAGAAGAGCUUCUAAAAAAUGUGUUAGGUGGAUGAAUCACACCAAUACCUCCCAGAAGCCACCUGGUCACUUCACUGACUUAGUCAGAUGUCACAGUCACAUAACCCUAUGGGGAUCGGGCAAGUGUCCACCUCUUAAAACCCUUUAUCCACAACUUUAAUCACCUUUGAUAUUCAUUACAUUUGACUUGCUGCUCUUACUCUUUUUGGACAUAACCAAUGCUUGAUGCUAAGACACGAUGUGGCUGUUUACUUCAAAAAGGAAGGGAAAAAGGAAAAGGCUUUCUUUAAAAUUUCAUUUUGAGGGCCAGGGAUUUAGCUCAGUGGUUCCACCGCCUGCCUCACAAGCACAAAGUCCCGAGUUCGAUCCCUGGUACCAAAAAAGAUUUUCAUUGUGAAACAAGGUCUCUGGUUAGUUGCCUAGACUGGGCUUGAACCUGCAGUCCUCCUCUUGAGUAGCUGAGAUUGCAGGCAUAUGCCACUGUGCCUGCCAAAGGAUAUUAAAAAAAAAGUUUACUUAUGCAGAAAAUUUUGAGGAAAUAUUAAUUUGUAAGGAAAAAAGCAGGAUAAAAGUAUCCAGAAGCUCUUGACCCCGAAUCUGUUAAUGUUUGCACUCAUCUGUUCAUCACAGGAAGAUACAUAGGAUCUUCAGCAAGGAAUACACACUAGGGAAAAAGCUUGAUAUUGCACAGAUAGAGGGCUUCAUGAAUGGUGG
rnacentral:lncRNA from 1 species